ACAUUCCUUAAUUAUUAUUGUUAUCUCCUUGAUUUGCUUGGAUUUCAAUCUUCAGGGAGAGAGCAUGGCCACCGUGUUGGUUGCUACUCAAUGUCGCUGGGGCGCUCCUCACCGCUCAUCUCCUCGCAGAAGAUUCUUCUACCCCUCGAAGAAUCAGCAGAAGUUAUUAACUUCAUCCGCUCUGAGAGAACCUAAAGUUCUUGCAAAGGAUCUCACACUAAGCAUAGAUCCAACGACAGAGGAAAAAGAUGUCUCCGAGGCUAAGUUGCUCCAAGAAUUUACUAACAUCCCUAACAUUGAUAAGGCGUGGAUUGUUAAAUCAGAUAGUGAAAACAGCUCCCAUGCAAUGUUCUUGAUUAAUCAAGUAAAUCUACUGGCAAACAAAAACAGGACAUUUAUACUAUCAUCCAAUAUUUCAAAAAGCACAGACAGUGUGAGCUUUCAAUGGUCUCCUUUUCCAGUUGAGAUACAAGGCGCAUCUGCAAUUGUUCCAUCACCAUCAGGUUCCAAGCUUCUUGUAGUUCGGAAUAAAGGACAAGAAUCAUCAACUGAGCUUGAAAUUUGGGGCCCUUCUUGUUUGGAGAAGGAGAUACACAUUCAAAAAUUAGUUCAUGGUUCAUUGUACACUGACAGAUGGUUUGAGGGUAUUUCAUGGAAUCAUGAAGAAUCUCAAAUUGCCUAUAUCGCGGAAGAACCUUGUCCAUCUAAGCCAACAUUUGGUAGUUCAGUGUACAAGAAAGAAGAUUCUUCUAGUAAGAGUUCAGUUAGCUGGAAAGGUCAAGGGGAAUGGGAAGAGGAUUGGGGUGAAACCUAUACUGGAAAAAGAAAGCCUGCCCUCUUCGUUGUCGACAUUAAUAGUGGAGAAGUCCGGAUGGCUGAGGGAAUCCCAAGGUCAUUAAGUGUUGGGCAAGUAGUAUGGGCUCCGUUAUCUGCUCAGAGUUCUCAAAACUACUUAGUUUUUGUUGGAUGGUCAGAAAUUGGUCCCUGCAAUGUGACAAGAAAGCUUGGUAUGAAAGUUUGUUACAAUAGGCCAUGCUCCUUGUAUGCAGUCAGGUCUCCUUUUCAUGGAUCAGUUGGAACUGAGCUAAGGUUCAAUGAAACUGAAAAUUCAGCUUCUGCAGUCAAUUUGAUUCCUGGCAUGAGUAGUGCUUUCUUUCCCCGUUUUAGCCCAGAUGGCAAGUUUCUUGUAUUUUUAUCUGCAAUAACUGCUGUGGAUACUGGAGCACACGCGGUCACAAAAUCACUGCACAGACUUGAUUGGAGAGUUGAUGGGAAACCUUGUCCAUCAAGAAAUAUAAUUGAAGUGGUCCCUGUGGUGAUGUGUCCUAAAGAUGAUGGCUUCCCUGGGAUCUAUAAUUCAAGCCUCCUCAAUGAUCCAUGGCUUCCUGACGGACAUACAAUGAUAUUGUCAUCAGCGUGGGGCAGCAUCCAAGUAAUACUUUCAAUAAACAUCUUGAGUGGGAGUGUUUCUCGAAUCACGCCCUCUAACUCAAACUCUUCGUGGAAUCUUCUUGACCUUGAUGGGAACAACAUUCUUGCUGUAUCCAGCACUCCUAUACACCUGCCACAGAUUAAGUAUGGAUAUCAGUAUGAUAGAAUGGAAAAGGAGAACUCGUGGCAUUGGAUAUCUGUUUCUACUCCAUUUAUGGGAUACUCAGAAAAGAUCAAAUCGUUGCUUUCGUCACAAUUGUUUAGCAUACUAAAGAUUCCAGUUAAAAGUACUUCUGAAAACCUUCCAGAAGGUGCUAAGAAGACUUUUGAAUCUAUUUUUCUAUAUUCUCAUUCAGAAGAAUCUGGUUCCACGCAUCAAAAUAAUUGCCGCCCAUUAAUUAUACUGAUUCAUGGUGGUCCACAUUCAGUCACAUUAUCAAGCUAUUCGAAACAAGCAUCAUUUCUAUCUUCAUUGGGGUACAAUUUGCUUCUAGUUAAUUAUAGAGGAUCAGUUGGGUUUGGAGAGGAAUCCCUACAAUCUCUUCCAGGAAAUAUCGGAUGCCAGGAUGUAAAUGAUGUACUAGCAGCACUGGACUAUGUCAUCGACAAGGGACUUGCAGAUGGGUCUAAAGUAGCUCUAUAUGGAAGUUCACAUGGAGGCUUCUUGACAGCCCAUUUGGUUGGACAGGCACCGCAUAGGUUUACUGUGGCAGCUGUACGAAACCCUGUCUGCAACCUUUCACUGAUGGUGGCCACAACAGAUAUUCCUGACUGGUGUUAUGUCUUGACCUUCGGAAAAGAUGGAAAGAAAUAUUUUACUGAUGCACCUUCAACCGAUCAUCUGUCUAUGUUCUAUAAAAUGUCUCCUAUUUCGCAUCUCUCAAAGGUUAAGGCACCCCUUCUUUUCCUUUUGGGCGCUAAAGACCGUCGUGUUCCCAUUUCUAAUGGGUUGCAAUAUGCUCAGGGUUUGAAGGACAAAGGAGUAGAGGUCAAAGUGAUUGUAUUUCCAGAGGAUGGUCACGUGAGGUUCAGGCCACAAUCUGAAUUCGAAAGCUUGGUCAAUUUGGCUGUGUGGUUUAACAAGCAUAUUAAAUGAAACAUUCAUAAACACACAGUAUAUUAUGCAUUUGGAACCUGAACUCACGUUUCCGAGGCUUUGCACCUCAACACCUAAAGCAUGAUAAAAGUUUGUAGCAAUCGGAAUGAGAUUCUCAACCUGCGUUUCUCUCAUAAUUCUAUCAAUAUAGCCCUGCCGGCUAUUGAUUAUCAAAAGAAACAACAUUCCUAUCAAAAUAAUUUAGAAGGAGCUUACUAGGAUAAGUAAUGCUGCAAAAAUUGUUACGCAAUCCUCUCCUGCGGUCUUCUUGUAUUUAUUUAGAUUUCUGAUUCAUAUCCACAUAAAAUUUGGUUGACAAUGAAGUUUUAGCUUCCGGGUUGUUCCAUACGCUCAAAAGCUGUGUUUGGAGCUUCUAUCUCUUAGUUGUCAAUUUUCUUCUUUGUCCUUCUACCGAUUGAUAGAGUUGAGCUACAUAUAAUCCACUUAAAUGGAGUUCUUUUUUUUCUA